GGUUAAGCUACUAAGGGCGCACGGUGGAUGCCUUGGCACUAGAAGCCUAAGAAGGACGGGACGAACACCGAUAUGCUUCGGGGAGCUGUAAGUACGCUUUGAUCCGGAGAUUUCCGAAUGGGGGAACCCACCAUCUUUAAUAGGAUGGUAUCCAUUUCUGAAUACAUAGGGAAUGGAAGGCAGACCCGGGGAACUGAAACAUCUCAUUACCCGGAGGAAGAGAAAGCAAACGCGAUUUCCUGAGUAGCGGCGAGCAAACGGGAAUCAGCCCAAACCAGAGGGCUUGCCCUCUGGGGUUGUAGGACGUCUCUUUGGAGUUACAAAGGCACGGAUAGACGAAGCGACCUGGAAAGGUCCAUCAGAGAAGUAACAAUCCUGUAGUCAAAAUCCGAUGCCCUCCGAGACGGAUCCUGAGUACGGCGGGACACGUGAAACCCCGUCGGAAUCCGGGAGGACCAUCUCCCAAGGCUAAAUACUCUCUAGUGACCGAUAGUGAAACCAGUACCGUGAGGGAAAGGUGAAAAGCACCCCGGAAGGGGAGUGAAAAAGAACCUGAAACCGUGUGCCUACAACUAGUUGGAGCCCGUUAAUGGGUGACAGCGUGCCUUUUGUAGAAUGAACCGGCGAGUUACGAUCCCGUGCAAGGUUAAGCUGAGAAGGCGGAGCCGCAGCGAAAGCGAGUCUGAAUAGGGCGAAAUAGUACGUGUCGUAGACCCGAAACCAGGUGAUCUACCCAUGUCCAGGGUGAAGUUCAGGUAACACUGAAAUGGCCCGAACCCACGCAUGUUGAAAAAUGCGGGGAUGAGGUGUGGGUAGCGGUGAAAUGCCAAUCGAACCUGGAGAUAGCUGGUUCUCUCCGAAAUAGCUUUAGGGCUAGCCUCGCGGCAAGAAUCUUGGAGGUAGCACUGAUUGGACUAGGGUCCUUACCGGAUUACCGAAUCCAGUCAAACUCCGAAUGCCAACGAUUUAUCCGCGGGAGUCAGACUGCGAGUGAUAAGAUCCGUAGUCGAGAGGGAAACAGCCCAGACCACCAGCUAAGGUCCCAAAGUAUACGUUAAGUGGAAAAGGAUGUGGCGUUGCUUAGACAACCAGGAUGUUGGCUUAGAAGCAGCCAUCAUUUAAAGAGUGCGUAAUAGCUCACUGGUCGAGUGACGCUGCGCCGAAAAUGUACCGGGGCUAAACGUAUCACCGAAGCUGUGGAUUGUCUUACGACAAUGGUAGGAGAGCGUUCUAAGGGCUGUGAAGUCAGACCGAAAGGACUGGUGGAGCGCUUAGAAGUGAGAAUGCCGGUAUGAGUAGCGAAAGACAAGUGAGAAUCUUGUCCGUCGAAAGCC
rnacentral:rRNA from 1 species